rnacentral:rRNA from 1 species
UACGUAGGGGGCAAGCGUUGUCCGGAAUCAUUGGGCGUAAAGCGCGUGUAGGCGGCCCGGUAAGUCCGCUGUGAAAGUCCAGGGCUCAACCCUGGAAUGCCGGUGGAUACUGUCGGGCUCGAGUCCGGAAGAGGCGAGUGGAAUUCCUGGUGUAGCGGUGAAAUGCGCAGAUAUCAGGAGGAACACCGAUGGCGAAGGCAGCUCGCUGGGACGGUACUGACGCUGAGAAGCGAAAGCAUGGGGAGCGAACAGG